AUAAUCUCCUGACGAUGUCGACUCUCCUCUGCAGAAAUUUGCUAGUUUUUACCUGAACAAACAUCAGUCGGAGAGCGUGGAGACUUCACUGGAUUUGUGCAUUCCCACAGACAUGAAAGUGUUAGAAAAGAGCUCCAAACACCAGGAGGCCUACGGGAAGCUCUUCAAAGAGCCGGAGGAGGGUCAGGAGCGUUCGUCCGUCCUGCAAGUCUUCAAAAAGAUCUGGCUGAUGGCUAUGUGUGUGACGUGUGUGUUUGCCGUCACACUCUCAGUGUUUCCUGUCAUCACACUCCGAGUCAGGACCGUCUACCAAGACAACCCGGUCUGGG